AAGGGUUGACAGUGUGAGAAAAUAACAAGCAUUUCUCUCGGAGUUGCUGCCAAUAUAUUGGGCAGUUUAAGAGACCCGGUCUCUCUAAAGUAAAAAACAGAAAUAAGAAAUAAAUGUUAUAUUUCUAACCUAUCCCUGACACACCACAACCAAUCACACACACACAGGUCAUUAUAAAUGCUCAAAGUUUUUGAUUAUCACUGUGAGA
rnacentral:lncRNA from 1 species